rnacentral:sRNA from 1 species
GGUUCUAUGUAUUAAAAAAAAGAACGUAGACUCCAUGGUGCUGACUAUUAUACGGUCGAAUCCGCCCGACUUUUGCUUUUCCUUCUGGUUAGCUGGUAAAGUAAUUUAGUAUCCCUCUAUCACUGGUUGCCAUUUUUCAUUUCAGCAAAUGCAUGCAAUGAAAUCAAUUGCAUUUGCAGUGGCAUACUUUGCCGCAAUCCUUCCCAACUCGAUUUCCCUGCUUGGAGAACUAGGACCAAAAACCCGCCAAAUUAUUAAAAUUCCAAACGAAAAAUUUCAUUAGAGAAACGAAAAGACCAACAAUGCCACUAAAACAAAAUUAGCCUUGUCCUCUACGGUCUUCCCUUCUAGCCAAUCUUUUGAAAAGCUCCAGUAAACCUUUUUGUGCCAACAGCAUGAAAUGCUAGCCUCGCUCUCGAGAAACGAGAAGGACAAACGAAAUGAAUAAAACUAUUUAGGAAAGUGGAACGUUACAAAUUGUGUUUUGAAUAUACGAAAAUGAAAAGUGCUGCUCGAAAAAAAAAAUCCUCAAUUGACUGUUCUUUUUUGUGGCCCCGAUUGACGAGUAGUUUCAUCUGUUUGAAUUUCUCAUUUCUCAGUGGCAUCGGUUUAACCCCAACAAUGGCGGUGGUUGGUCUUCUUCUUUGAGUUUUGGUGACAGUGUCUAUAGACACACAGACACUUUAUUUGCCAAGCUUUACUUUGCCACAUUCGUACAAAUAAAAA